rnacentral:sRNA from 1 species
UUACUGAAUCGUAACCAGGCCACGGAAGC